CGCACCUUGCGCUCCUCGGCAUUCCGAGGAGCAUGCCUGUUUGAGUGUCAUGGAAACCCUCAACCCUGUCAUCUUUGCGGAUGGUAAGCAGGGCUUGGAUCCUGGAGGUUUUUUUUGCUGGAUGCUUCCGGGCGUCUGGCUCCUCUUGAAUGCAUUAGCUUGGACAGACCGGCUAGGGUCGACGUGAUAAACAUCACCGUUGACCGGAAGGCCCCGUCACGCGUCGAGCUUCCAAUCGUCUUCGGACAAAAGUGUCUCUGACCUCUGACCUCAAAUCAGGUAGGACUACCCGCUGAACUUAA
rnacentral:misc_RNA from 1 species